CUUUACUUGAGAAACUUAGUGAUAUGACAGAUUUCAUGAAGUGUUCAGUUCGCUACGUCUUAUAUUGGUACAAGGAUUAUGCUCCAAAGCUUAUGUUUUUAACAAAUGCUUCCUCCUAAAAAUUGCUUAUAAAUAAUGUAUGCACCACCAUGCAGUUUUUUUCUUUCAAGAUGCUGAAUAUGAAACAUGAUUCAAAUUGAUAUGAUAUAGUGUGGUGUAUGUGGAAGUUCAUUGUUCUUUUAUUUUUUGGCCUUUUACUUCUCAAAUUGGUUAGUGAAUAUUGGAAGUGCCUUUGAGAACAUGUGCAAAUUUUUUUUGGCCGUGCAGAUCAUGCUUUCGAGUUUUUAUUCCUUUCAUCAUGAUUUGUCUUUAGCUUUGAAAAUUUUUGCUCAUGCUAUGUGACAGGUGGCGGAAAGGGCUCUUUUCUGAUGGAACAAUGAGCACAUUGAGAACCUGAUUGCAGAGAACCGACAUGUUAUCCUACCAAUAAUAUUUGACUCAUUAGAAGAGAUAUACGAGGUCAUUGGAAUCAGGCAAUCCUCGGUCUGAGCUCCAAUGUCCGAAAAAUGUUCCUGGAGAUGUACGCUAAACUGUUUGAGAAGUGUCAGAGACAGUAUGAGGAAAUGAAAGCUGGGGCAGGAGAACAAGAAGAACAUCGUGAGUUAGCACUAUGGAAGAGACUAGAAGAAGUUGCUACUCAGAUCUAGUGCUCUCUGCCUCUCUGGUGAAUUAUGAAGCCAAGUUCUCCCUUCCUCAUCAGAUGUUCUCUCUCCUUGAGAAGAUAUUGAGCUCCUAUCAAAGAAAUUGGGGUCACAACUUUUUGGGGUUGGUGGAGCUAUGUUGGCCUAAUGCUUGAGGCCUCUCUUUUGAUCUAUUGGCUGCUUUUUGUCGUCCGAAAAGGGAAGUAUGACUUAUCCAAAGCAAAGUUGGAAAGGGAGCUAAAAAUCCCAGGUAAUGGAGAUAUUGAUUUACUGUUCAUUGUUUUUUCUUCUCUCUUGACGUGGGUGUAUCUUCCAUCUUUUCGAUUCUUGGUGCUCUUAAUAAUGAUAUCAGUAACUUUAAUCAAGAUAAGUUUCAUGAUCAAGUUACUUCAAGUUCUCUGUGUGAAUGUCCAUUUCACUCUUAUUAAAAGAAAGAGCCGUGAUGCUACCAAAAAUCGUACCUGUAGAUUUCCCGAGCUUGAUGACUGGUGAGGAGCACGAACGUGAUCUUCCGAUACCUGAAACAAAGGCAACGAGGUGUGUUCUCGUCGCCCCUCCGAUGCUUAAGUCAGAAAGGGAAAUAUAUGCGUAAGGCUAUGUGCUGAAGAACAAUGUCAAACGUACCUGAAUAAUGGUUCAAGGUUCUGUAUUUAUAGUAGUAAGUGACAUUCUCCUAAUUGGACUCAACUAGUUGGAUGUCCUCAUCUGUUGGAGUCCUGAAUGGUUAAGGAGUUGGUUGAAUUCCAGAAUUAUGCGUGAGAUAGGACUCUUGUGGGAGUUAAGAUUCCUAAUUGCGUAGGAAUUCUAAAGUGUGAACAAUCGUCAGCAGUAAGGAGGAGCACAUUCCCGAGGACUAUGCCCGAGGACACAUGUUUGCAAUAUGCGAAGCAUCAUGGAGAUGUGGUCGGGCCUUGUGUCUCGAGGACGAACAUGCUCGAGGACACCACAGAUGGAUUUACAACUUUAC
rnacentral:lncRNA from 1 species